rnacentral:rRNA from 1 species
UGAAGGUGAAGUCGUAACAAGGUUUCCGUAGGUGAACCUGCGGAAGGAUCAUUACCGAGUGAGGGCCCUCUGGGUCCAACCUCCCACCCGUGUUUAUCGUACCUUGUUGCUUCGGCGGGCCCGCCUCACGGCCGCCGGGGGGCAUCCGCCCCCGGGCCCGCGCCCGCCGAAGACACACAAACGAACUCUUGUCUGAAGAUUGCAGUCUGGGUACUUGACUAAAUCAGUUAAAACUUUCAACAACGGAUCUCUUGGUUCCGGCAUCGAUGAAGAACGCAGCGAAAUGCGAUAAGUAAUGUGAAUUGCAGAAUUCAGUGAAUCAUCGAGUCUUUGAACGCACAUUGCGCCCCCUGGUAUUCCGGGGGGCAUGCCUGUCCGAGCGUCAUUGCUGCCCUCAAGCACGGCUUGUGUGUUGGGCUCUCGCCCCCCGCUUCCGGGGGGCGGGCCCGAAAGGCAGCGGCGGCACCGCGUCCGGUCCUCGAGCGUAUGGGGCUUCGUCACCCGCUCUGUAGGCCCGGCCGGCGCCCGCCGGCGAACACCAUCAAUCUUAACCAGGUUGACCUCGGAUCAGGUAGGGAUACCCGCUGAACUUAAGCAUAUCAAUAAGCGGAGGA